CCUACGGGCGGCAGCAGUGAGGAAUAUUGGUCAAUGGACGAGAGUCUGAACCAGCCAAGUAGCGUGAAGGAUGACUGCCCUAUGGGUUGUAAACUUCUUUUAUAUGGGAAUAAAAUGUUCCACGUGUGGGAUUUUGUAUGUACCAUAUGAAUAAGGAUCGGCUAACUCCGUGCCAGCAGCCGCGGUAAUACGGAGGAUCCGAGCGUUAUCCGGAUUUAUUGGGUUUAAAGGGAGCGUAGGUGGAUUGUUAAGUCAGUUGUGAAAGUUUGCGGCUCAACCGUAAAAUUGCAGUUGAAACUGGCAGUCUUGAGUACAGUAGAGGUGGGCGGAAUUCGUGGUGUAGCGGUGAAAUGCUUAGAUAUCACGAAGAACUCCGAUUGCGAAGGCAGUUCACUGGACUGCAACUGACACUGAGGCUCGAAAGUGUGGGUAUCAAACAUGAUUAGAUACCCUUGUAGUC
rnacentral:rRNA from 1 species